rnacentral:rRNA from 1 species
UUGAUCCUGGCUCAGAUCGAACGCUGGCGGCGUGGCUAAGACAUGCAAGUCGCACGGAAAGGCUCCGACGGAUCCUUCGGGUGAAGUUGGGGCACUCAAGUGGCGAAAGGGCGAGGAAUACAUGGAUAACGUACCUCGAGCACGAGGAUAGCCGCGGGAAACUGCGGGUAAUACUCGAUGAUGUCACCGUUCCUAACGUUAUGGUGAUCAAAGGUGGGGAUCCUCGGACCUACCGGCUCAAGAGCGGUCCAUGUCCUAUCAGCUUGUUGGUGAGGUAACGGCUCACCAAGGCAACGACGGGUAGCGGGGCUGAGAGGUUGACCCGCCGCACUGGGACUGAGACACUGCCCAGACUCCUACGGGAGGCUGCAGUAACGAAUAUUGGUCAAUGGGCGCAAGCCUGAACCAGCGACGCCGCGUGCGGGAGGAAGCCCUUCGGGGUGUAAACCGCUGUCAGGGAUUACCAAGCAAAGGGAGCGAACAGUUCCCGGCGUUGAGGAGUCCCAGAGGAAGUCACGGCUAACUUCGUGCCAGCAGCCGCGGUAAGACGAAGGUGGCAAGCGUUGUUCGGAAUCACUGGGCUUAAAGAGCACGUAGGCGGCCUAUCAAGCGCUUUGUGAAAGCCCUCGGCUCAACCGAGGAAUUGCUUGGCGAACUGAUAGGCUUGAGGCAGGUAGGAGCGAGUGGAACUCUCGGUGGAGCGGUGGAAUGCGUAGAUAUCGAGAGGAACGCCGGACGUGAAGACGACUCGCUGGACCUGUCCUGACGCUGAGGUGCCGAAAGCCAGGGGAGCGAACGGGAUUAGAUACCCCGGUAGUCCUGGCCAUAAACGAUGUCCACUAG